UACGUAGGGUGCGAGCGUUGUCCGGAUUUAUUGGGCGUAAAGGGCUCGUAGGCGGCGUGUCGCGUCGGGGAGUGAAAGCCCGUUGCUUAACGGCGGGUUGGCUUUCGGUACGGGCAUGCUGGAGUGCGGCAGGGGAGACUGGAAUUCCUGGUGUAGCGGUGGAAUGCGCAGAUAUCAGGAGGAACACCGGUGGCGAAGGCGGGUCUCUGGGCAGUAACUGACGCUGAGGAGCGAAAGCAUGGGGAGCGAACAGG
rnacentral:rRNA from 1 species